AGUCGAACGAUGACGAAACAGCUUGCUGUUUCUGAUUAGUGGCGGACGGGUGAGUAAUGUAUAGGGAUCUGCCUAGUAGGGGGGGACAACAGCCGGAAACGGCUGCUAAUACCGCAUACGCUCUACGGAGGAAAGCGGGGGCUCGUAAGACCUCGUGCUAUUAGAUGAACCUAUAUCAGAUUAGCUAGUUGGUGGGGUAAGGGCCUACCAAGGCGACGAUCUGUAGCUGGUCUGAGAGGAUGAUCAGCCACACUGGGACUGAGACACGGCCCAAACUCCCACGGGAGGCAGCAGUGGGGAAUAUUGGACAAUGAGCGCAAGCCUGAUCCAGCAAUGCCGCGUGUGUGAAGAAGGCCUUCGGGUUGUAAAGCACUUUCAAUAGGGAGGAAAGGUUAUGCGUUAAUACCGUAUAGCUGUGACGUUACCUAUAGAAGAAGCACCGGCUAACUCCGUGCCAGCAGCCGCGGUAA
rnacentral:rRNA from 1 species